rnacentral:tRNA from 1 species
GACCGCGUAGCUCAGUUGGUAGAGCAUUGGGCUAGUAUUCCAAAGGUCGUAGGUUCGAAUCCCACCGUGAUCA